GAUCGAUUAGUCCUCUGGACUUUGGAGCUUUUGUGCUUCCCUAUCUCAGAGUUCUUCCAUCAGCCCACGAACGAUGCCAUGGGGAAGCUGGUCAGAGGAGCAUCACUGCUCUGUCCUCAAUUUUCCAGCACAACUGAGGAUGAUUUAAAAACCGAGGCACAGCCAAGACCUUUCCUCCUCCUGUGCUCAUCAAGCAAUCACCGCUCAUCACCCCUCUGCUUCAAACACCUCAUUUGCAUCUGGCUGACCUUGACUCCCCUCUGUGGAUGGGAAGAUGAAGAGGUGGAAGUGUAAAAGAUUGGAAUUUUAUGGUGGGGACAGCAGGUGGGAGCUUUCCAAGCCAGACAAAGGAGACCUGACAAGGAACUGUGGUGAAGGGACAAGCCCAAGGCAAGGAAGUGUCCGGUCGCCUCCUCUCCUGGAACAGGCAGCAGAGACCUGGAGAGACAGGAGACAUCUUGCAAGACUCAACACCUGGAGCAGUGCUAACCAGGCAAGGAGCAGCUCUGUUGCUAUCAGGAUUGUGAUCUUUUUUUCUCUCUCUGUUUGUGUGUUCAUGUAGUUUUGUUGUGUUCAUAAGGGUAAAUGAACAACUGGUUUGGGGAAGGAAGAUCAGUGUGUUUUCCUUAAAUGUUAAAGGAAAACCCCACCAGAGAGCUGUUUGGGCUGGGGUUGUUUGCUGUUUGGAAUGCAGAGCUCUGUUUCUGAGGGGGAGAGGGCUCAGCUAUGCAUUUAUCCCAUUUUGUGCUCUGUAGCCUUCCCUGUGUUUUUGAGAGGGCUGGGGCAGCUGCCUGCUGCAGGGAGGGGAUGUGGGGAGCACACAGAUAAUUUGUAUGUGGUGCUUCCUGAUAAAAUCAAUGCCAGGGUGUGUAUCAGUCAGGAGAAAAGGGUUGGAGAAAACCAGGUGUGAGACUGUGCCAGCAGGGCAGAGCAGCAGGUUUGGGGAGAGUUAUGGCUCCUGUAAGGAGCUUUGCUGCAGCUGAUGGUGGUGGAGGUGGGAAAGGACAAAGUUUUCCAGGGUGAACUUGAAUCUUCCAGGUGAGAGGAAUCAAACCCAAGCAGGACUUUACUGGGGGUGUGGAGACAAAACAAGAAACUGGAAUAAAUUGGGUCCUAGCUGCCUUUCCUGUCA
rnacentral:lncRNA from 1 species